rnacentral:lncRNA from 1 species
GUCUGAAUAAAUAUAAUUUAUUGUAUAAAAUUAAAAUUUUACAUAAUUUAUUGGGAAGAUAAAUAUAAAAAGUAAAUAUAUAUUUAAUAUAUAUCAAUUUUAUGAUUGUUUUAAUUUUAUAAUGAUUUUUAUGUAUAGGAAUUAGGUAAGAAUAAAUAUAUAUAUAUAUUUUUUAUUAAAAUGGAGACCGGAGGUGAGAACACCCCU